rnacentral:rRNA from 1 species
CAGAGGAAGAUAAAARAACUUUAAAARAAGUGAAAAAGUACGUGAAAUUGUUGAAAGGGAAGGGCAUUUGAUCAGACAUGGUGUUUUGCGCCUUGCCUCUCGUGCGGGGCUUGGCUUGCAGCUCACUGCCAGCAUGGUUUGGCGAAACCUGGGAAUGGGGGUCGGUGUAGUGUUAUASCCSUMSGAAUACGCCCRCCGAGAUGCGAUACUUUKUCUGAUGCUGCAUAGGUAUAUGU